UACGAAGGGGGCUAGCGUUGCUCGGAAUCACUGGGCGUAAAGGGUGCGUAGGCGGGUCUUUAAGUCAGAGGUGAAAUCCUGGAGCUCAACUCCAGAACUGCCUUUGAUACUGAAGAUCUUGAGUUCGGGAGAGGUGAGUGGAACUGCGAGUGUAGAGGUGAAAUUCGUAGAUAUUCGCAAGAACACCAGUGGCGAAGGCGGCUCACUGGCCCGAUACUGACGCUAAGGCGCGAAAGCGUGGGGAGCGAACAGG
rnacentral:rRNA from 1 species